UACGUAGGGUGCAAGCGUUAAUCGGAAUUACUGGGCGUAAAGCGUGCGCAGGCGGCUUUGCAAGACGGAUGUGAAAUCCCCGGGCUUAACCUGGGAACUGCAUUUGUGACUGCAUGGCUGGAGUGCGGCAGAGGGGGAUGGAAUUCCGCGUGUAGCAGUGAAAUGCGUAGAUAUGCGGAGGAACACCGAUGGCGAAGGCAAUCCCCUGGGCCUGCACUGACGCUCAUGCACGAAAGCGUGGGGAGCAAACAGG
rnacentral:rRNA from 1 species